CUUUCAACAACGGAUCUCUUGGCUCCAGCAUCGAUGAAGAACGCAGCGAAAUGCGAUAAGUAAUGUGAAUUGCAGAAUUCAGUGAAUCAUCGAAUCUUUGAACGCACAUUGCGCCCCCUGGCAUUCCGGGGGG
rnacentral:rRNA from 1 species